ACAUCAAUAGCAUAAAUUUUUAUGAUUGCAUUAACUAUUUUUUUUAAAAAAAAAACCAAUGCCUCGACCUCUCUCACGAUUUUCUCUCAGACCUCACUUGCAAUUUUUUUUUAAAGAUAUUUGAAUAUUAUUAAUACAAUUGACAGCCGUAGGGUAUACGAUUGAAGCCUCCCUCUACUGCAAUUCAUCUUCUCUUCCUCUGUUUUCUAUCUACUAAAUAAUAAAUAAGCUGCUUUUUUUUUUCCAAGUUUCUAAUGUAAAUUUGAAGGAACAGUAAAUAUAUGUGUUGGAUCUUUUGUUUUUUUUUGAACUGAUAUAUGUUGGAUCUUAAAUAUAAAUAUAUAUAUAUAAUAUUUUUUUGAUAUACAAAGGAAAUUUUGAAAUUAUUUUUUUUGGUGGAAAUCGAUUUUCAGAAUAGGAAAGUUAGCGAAAGUUAGCAGGAGGCACAAAGCUCAUGACGAAAUUGUGACUCUAUACAAGAAGUUAGCAGUUGAAAUAGGUUUUGCAUUAAUGCUAGAAUAGAGUAUGUGCAUUCCAAAGGGUUCUUGCAUAGAGAUGUCAAACCAGAUAACUUCCUAAUGGGUCUUGGCAGGAAAGCAAAUCAGGUUUACAUUAUAGAUUUUGGUCUUGCAAAAAGAUACCGGGAUCCCACCUCAAACAGACACAAUCCUUACAAGUCAAUUAUGUGACCCAAUUAGAAGCUAUAUUCACUUUUGAAUUUGGCAUUCGUGCUGCUCUUUUCUUGAGAGAGUUUUAUUUGUACUCAUAUCAAUUUAAUAUUUGGAGUCACCAAAACUUUAAAUAUUAUGUGGUUUCACAACUAUUAAGGGUCAGUUUUGGAAAGGAAUACAAUACAAUAGUAUAUACAUAGGAUACUAAAGAGAAUUGGAGAGUACUCAAUGUAUUGAGUGAAUGGAAUCUCUAUUUGCCUAGGGUCAGUUUUGUACUUUCUUGUCACUGAGUUCAUAUUGAAAAAGUAGUUAAAUAAUUAUACUAAUAUUAUUUUUUUUGAAAAAAAUUACUAUUAUGUUUUCUUUUUUAUAAAAUUUUAAUCUGUUUUCUUUUAUUCUUUUUUAAAUUAUAUAUUUCUUUUCAUAUAAUAAACAUUUUUUUUAAACAGUAUAUUUUUAAAUAAAUUAUAUAUAAUGUUGUCAUCAAAAAUAAAUAUUCAAAAUUAUAAAAUAUUAUUUAAA